rnacentral:rRNA from 1 species
AUGGCGUCCCCAAGUCGCACGGCCGCCACGCCCGCCGUCCUCCUCCUCCUGCUCCUGCUUGUCGCCACAGAGAUGGGGACGACCAAGGUGGUGGAGGCCCGGACGUGCCUGUCGCAGAGCCACAAGUUCAAGGGCACCUGCCUCAGCGACAGCAACUGCGCCGGCGUGUGCCGCACCGAGAACUUCCCCGACGGCGAGUGCAACUCCCACCGCCUCGAGCGCAAGUGCUUCUGCAAGCGGACCUGCUAA